rnacentral:ncRNA from 2 species
AUUUUUGAUUUAAAUUAAGGUUUAGCUUGAAGCUAAUUAAAAAGGAAUUGUGUGAAAAUCACAAGCUGACGCGCAACUGUAAAUAACCAUUUUUUUAUGAAGAUGUCACUGUUAUUUUAAUAAUGGGAAGACCUUAAAAAAGUUAUAAGCCAGGAGACUUGCCUUUACAAAUAAAAACCA